AAGAGUAGGCGCAGCGGUUGCGGAACAGUUCUAAGCAGCUGUUCUGAGGAAAGUCCGGACUCCCGAAAGACCAAACUUGCUGGGUAACGCCCAGUACGAGUGAUCGUGAGGAUAGUGCCACAGAAACAUACCGCCGAUGAAGCAUUUAGCUUACAGGUAAGGGUGCAAAGGUGCGGUAAGAGCGCACCAGCAACGUCGAGAGGCGUUGGCUCGGUAAACCCCGGUUGGGAGCAAGGUCGGAGGAACUAUGGUUGGUCUUUUACCAGUUCCGCUGUAGGAGAACCGCUAGAGGCGUCUGGUGACAGGCGUCCCAGAUAGAUAACCGCAUUUCACCUGCGGUAAUGCGCAAGGGUGAAUAACAGAAUCCGGCUUAUGUCCUGCUCUUUCCC
rnacentral:RNase_P_RNA from 1 species